rnacentral:lncRNA from 1 species
AAAUACAGCUGAGCGCCUCUAUUGACAGAUGGAUGCCUUCUUAAUCACAGCCUGUGAUACCCACACGACUAGGAGGAGGCAGAAAGUGAACAGGGAGCUCUUAUUACUUUUUGUGUGUCAGCAAGUUAAGAUAUCAUCUCCAGAAAACUGUACUAGUUGGCAUCCAGCAGUGCCCAAGUAUUAUUUAAUCCAUUAGAACCUGUGACUGCAUCACCUUUAUAUCCUGGACCUCAGCCUGGAACAAAGGAGAGCUACACUUGGAUACUAAACAAAAGUGGUCUGGAUAGAUUAUGCUGGGAAAAGAAGCCUGGAGUGGGCAGUACAGUGGGAGAACAAGUGAAAUCGCUCCUUAUCCUUGGGAGAAAAUGACAAGAAACGACAGCCACGGAAUCUUCCUCUGGAUAUGGGAACAAAAAUAGCUCUCAGAAUAAAUAGUGGCCACACCGAGGUAACUUCUUCAUGAGGUGACUUGGUGACUUCACAAGAUAGGCCCCACCCCACCCAUAUGGGAUGAACACCAUCUGGGCUGACCUCCUCUUUUGGGGUCUGUAAUUACUGUACAAAGAUGCAGGUGCGUCUAUGAAAGCAAACUUUGUCGAGAUCUCAGUGACACAUUCUGCUUUUCCAAAUGACCUCAAUUGGCAGUGUGUAUUAGAAAGAGUCAUGGAAUGUCUCUGGAAAGAUACAUAGGAGACCUAGUGACAUUGGAUCCUUGUGGGUAGGGAGACACUGUGUAAGUGCAUCAAAGAGGCUGACUUUUCGCUGUGCACUCCUUCAGACCACUGGAAAUUCGGAAAUGUAUACGGUGUGCAUGUAUUACCUCCUCAAAACUAGCUAGCUACCUAUCUACCUACCUACCUACCCACCUACCUUCCUACCUAGCUAAUUAAUUAGCUAACUAAGUUAAUAAGGUGUUAAAAAAAAAAAAAAGAAAAGCCAAAUAACUGGAAACACUUAGAUCUUCCUCUGUUGCUGUUUAGCCGACUGUUCAAUUUAACCCUUAAAUAAGUUAUUUCCUCUGAGUUUUUUUUUUUUCUUCCACAGAAACUCUGCACCUAAGAAACACUGGUUUCCUUGUUCUUCCCCAAACAUGCCAGGCACAUCCCAGCCUCAGCUUCUUUGCAAAAACAAUUUCCAAUGCCUGGAAAAAUCUUGUUUUUGUUAUCUCCAUGGCUUGCAUUUUACUUAGUUUAAGUCUUGACUCAAAUAUCACUUUCUCAAUAAGGCCUACCUUGACUGUCCUAUUUAAAAUUGCAAACUUAACACCCCAGAAUUCCUCAUCCAUUUUAUCUUUCAUAGUAAUGAUCUUAUUUGUUUUUUUUUUUUUGUGAUGGAGUUUUGCUCUUGUCACCCAGUCUGGAGUGCAAUGGCAUGAUCUCGGCUCACCGCAACCUCUGCCCCCAGGUUCAAGCGAUUCUCCUACCUCAGCCUCCUGAGUAGUUGGGAUUACAGGCAUGUGCCACCAGGCCUGGCUAAUUUUGUAUUUUUAGGUGAGAUGGGGUUUCUCCAUGUUGGUCAGGCUGGUCUCAAACUCCCGACCUCAGGUGAUCCACCCGCCUCGGCCUCCCAAAGUGCUGGGAUUACGGGCAAGCCACCGCGCCUGGCCAUAAUGAUCUUCUUUUUAAAGUACUAUAUAGGCAUCUUAGUACUUAACAUCUUUUCGUCUAUAUCAAACUCUAGAACCAAGCUCCAUGAAGGCAAGGAUUUAUCUUCAAAUCUUUUGCUCUCUGUUACUUCCCCCAGCACCUAAGUACUGCUUAGCACUUACAGCUUUUCAAGAAAUAAUUGCUGAGUAAAUAAAAGAACUAAUGAGUUUUGCUUU